rnacentral:rRNA from 1 species
CUUGUACCACUUACAACUUUCACAGUGCCUAAUCUCAUUUGAUCUCAGAAGCUAAGGAAGGUUGGAUGAUGGUUGGAAGACUUGGAUGGGAGACUGGUGGAAAUACCAGGUGGCCAGC